ensembl:lncRNA
AGGCCAAGUUAUGCUGAGAACACUGAAAAAAUGCGUAUGCAGUCUUGUUUUCAUGAUGUUGAGGCAGUUACGGUACGUUACUAUGUUGCUAAAUAGAGAGAAUGAGAGCACGCGCAGCGCCAGUUAUGAAGGGAAGCUUUGUGGCCAACCAGCACGGGUAUUUCUCUCUCUCUUUUUCUAAACAAAUAAAUGGCCGAACAAAUGAAAGGGCAAAUUUAAUAGACACAUUAGGUAAUAUCUGGCUCUCGCCGUUCGGCCUGCAAUCUGCUCUCCAGCAGGCUCGUUAGCAGAUGGGAUGGAGGACAUUCUGUUCCAGAGUCUGGGCUCAACCCACGGUUCUCUCCGCACGCCUGUAGGGGAACCGCCACGACAGAACAGCGGAACAGUCCAGUGAACGCAGAACUCCUCGAUUAGCGAAUGAAAUCUAGGCCUAGAGGUUAAACGUAUGUGCUUAUUGCUAUUAUAAUAAGUACAUAGGGAGCUUUGCUAAGUAAAAAAGUUGCCCACUUAUGAUUUUUGUUUAAAGGGGUCGGAGAAGCGAGCGAGCGAGACAGUGCUUAAAGGUUUUAAUGAGCAGCUCUGACAUCUCUGUAAGUGUAAUCAUUUGACUUCACUCAAGGACUCCCUGACCCUGCCCAUGAAGUAUUCCUUUAUGGUUUAAUGUUGGCAGAUGAGCAGCCUCCUCUACAGAGAACAGUGCAUGUAUAGUGGGGUCUUCAGAUCAUGUGUUGGAAUACAUGAGCACAUAUGAAGCGAGUGUUAGUUUGAAUGAGCCGUGGAUUUACCAAGAAUAACACUGCGAUUGCUGUGAAUUUGUUUUCACACAUCUCUCGUCAGGGAAAGCUGGCUCACUGCAUGUGCCAAACCCCACAGAAGAGGGCAGAGUCAAGUCAUGUGAACAGGCUGAGGGAACGUGCAGUGACACACCUUUGCCUCCCAACCUAAAAAUAAUGACGAGCUAAGCUAACCCUUCACUCAGCAUUACCACAUGGCAGUCUAAGCAAAACAGCACGAGGCCACAAAACCCCCUUGAUUUUCCUGCUAAGUGCCCGGUUUUAAAAAGCAGACACCACGUUUUACCCCCGAAACACUUGUGCAACUCAUGCCCUGUGUUGACUGGAGCUUUUUUCUACUUCAACAGCCAUUCAUAUACACUAUGUGCGGUUCUCUUUAAAAACAAAUGUAAAAUACAAACCUUCAACAUUCAGCCUGAAAACACCUGGUAUUUCUUAUGGGUGGACACAUAAUGUACUAGCUUGUUUCAUUUGACAGUUACAAAGUCAGACUUUGUUGAAAUACAGUAUCUGAAAUAAUGUAGGGAGAACCUUGGUAAGAGAGUCUGUACCAGAUAAAAUGACCCAACAAGCAUAACAGACCUCAGGAGAGAUGACAAGAAACCCUUAAAUGAAACCUUGAAAGACAAAAAAGCUCACGUGGGCAGAUGGUGUUGUUUGUGUAGUGCGCCAGGCAGAUUAUGACUUGUGUAGGAGUCGUAGGGAUACACAGGAAGGGACAUUAUCCUGUGGUGGAACAGUAGGCCUCUCCAGGAUCACAGAGGGAGAGAGGGCAGAAUGGCAUUUUGCAUUAGACCCACAGAGGUGGACCAAGCAUGGACAGAAAACACACCGUACAUCAAAGGACUGUGCUCUUGGAGACAGCAAAUGAAGCGGAAUUAGUAUCAAUCACAGCGGGCAUUUCAGAUGUCAUUACGGUGUGUCAUCACUGCCGUGAUUAUUCUUCCUGUCUACUUUCUGCCGCACGGCCACAGUCAAGAUGCUCUUCUUAAACCUGAGAGCCCAUAGGCCGAGGCAAACCCAAGAGCCCAUAGGCCGAGGCCUUUUAUGGUUCUUAAACCUAAGAGCCCAUAGGCCGAGGCAUUUUAUGGUCCACAGCCUUCCAUUAAGGAGCAAGAAAAACAAAGUUCAGGACUGUCCUAGCAGCGGCUAUAAAAAUAAGAAUGUGACCCCUUCGAGCCUGUGGCUCGUCAACCUUGACUAAGAGUGACCACGGAGCCGGACAGAAGAGUGUUUUUACACCCAGAGCCAAGAGACAAAGACGAGGGCAGGACGGCAGACAGUAGGAGUGGGAACAGUGGGAAUUCCAUCAAGGGCACAAACGCUGAGUCAUUCUUUGGCUGUGUCUGCGGCCCACUGUUAUGAUGUGACAUGUUGACCAUAACGUUAUACCUUCAGGGAAUAGGUCAACAGCACGUAGACAGUUAGAGAGAUGUAUACACAUCAACUGAACACACAGCAAUGCAGCGUAUGCAGUCACCUGGAGGAUGGUGUUGUCCUCGCCAGGUUGAGGUCCUCAAGGUACAAGGUAAGGUGUGCAGGAGGCUAACUCUGGCCAAAAGGCGUUGGCCGCAUGGCUCAUGUUGCAUACACACAAUGCACCGGGCCAAAGACCGGGUGGAACUGAAUAAGGCCGUGUUGAAUUAUGAACACAUUGUUUUGCUCAGAUUGCGAUGGUGCCUUGGGCCAGACAGCGAUGACACAUGACACGUGCUCGCUUUCUCGGUCAAGGCACAGGACAACGCAAGGAUCCUGAAGAUUCAGAGCCAAGAAACAGUAGACAUUUUGGCUCUGCUGAAAACAUGGGCAUAUUGGGGCAACACAAUUAUUUUAGUACUUAUAUCCCUAUUCAGUUAUUAUGUACAUGAACAGAAUUAUGGGAAUUUAUAUAAAAAAAAGGGAUACUUUAGCAAAUACUGAUUUCAAAUAAUAACCUUGUUCAUUGGAGGAGAUCUUAGGCACACCCAUAACAGUUUUGGUGUGCAUUUGUGGAGUGAGUUGGCACUUUGCGCACUCAGGAGAAAGGGUUUUUACUGCUUUUUCAUUUUUUUUAAUUUCCAUUUACUCUAGCCUUAGGUGCUCCCACACAAAUAGUUAAAAAAAAACGCUUGUAUACACUAUCGUUAUUCGAAUAUCAAGAACGGUUAGUACGCACAUCCUUAGUAUUGCUUCAUCACCCAAAUUACAGGCGUUAACCUGAUAAGGCUCAGUUUUGUAGUCAUCCGUUCACCAUGGCGACUCAUGACAGCAUAAAUCUUCUGCAUCGGUGGGCCAAUGCGGCACCUCACACAGAUAAGCUGGGGGAGUGUUAUGCUGGGGGUUGGCCUGUUGGAAAGGCAUAUCACCACCUGCUUAAGUCCAUGGAGCCUACAUUCUCUCAUCCUUCCCCAUUAAACAUUAAACACACCGCAAGGCCAACAUUCCAGACGGUUCACAUCACACGUCUAUGGUAAUAGGACUGCCCUCAGUCUGACUAACCGGGAUUUUACCUGUUCAUUUAUUUGUUUAGAAGAAGCUUUUAUCCUGAGCCACUGAGGCAAAGUUCAACACUCCAACUUUGGUGUGAGUGCUGUGUACUCCUGUUUCCGUUUAAUCCGGACAUGAAAGAUAGGAACUACUAUUCGCAAGCCCAUGAAAAGAGUAAGUCCUGUGACACAAAUGACAGAGAGACACCCUGGUGACACUGAAUGUCAGUGGAACAAAAUGAAGUAACAGCUGAACAGAUGUGGAGAUGGUAAAGAGAGUGGCGGGUCUUCAGAUGUGUCUUGAAAUCAGGUGAGGGAUUUCUCUUACAAUAUGAACUUAAGUAACCCAUUCCAGCAUUCAUGCCAAAGAGAGUUGGUACUGACAUUCCAUAGCAUCCAGUGAUGACAACACAUAUCUGGACGAUGAAGUUCACACGGGCAGAUGCAGCUGCUUUGGCUGGCAAGGACUGAAGGGGCUAAUGGUGUCAGUCGAGGGUCAGGUGCCACAUGCAUCCUUUCUGACUGAUUAAAGUUAAAGGUCAAGUGUGCAGCCCAUUCUGAACAAUCUAUGAGGGUUUGAUGAUGCAUGCUGGUAGUCCACCCAGCAAGACGCAACCGUGGUCCAGUCAUACGCCUCGGCUGCCAUCACACUUUGAAGAUGGUUUGACAGGCAAAGCAGGACACCAAGAUGGACAUCAUCCUGACUCAUUUCUAGAAACAUUUCCCGAGACCUCCUAAACAGCCUAAGAAGACUUUCAAUAGCCUUCCUAAAGAUCCAAACUCAGGGUGAGUUUUCACAGGACACCGUCUACUGGAGGGAGACAUUAUGCCACAUGAAUACCCAACAGUCCAGUCUGGUUAAAUUAUUCACACAACUGGCCUAAAGGAAGAACAGGCCAUUAUGACACAAGUGCUAUUCAUGUAUGGUGAGCUUCUGAUGGUGUUUCUCUCGGCUGUCAGCAUGAUGAAAAAGAACCCAAAUGAAUUUACUGUAAGUGUACAGAGUACCCACUGCCUUGCUGUCGUGCUUUUUUAACUAGAUUUUAUGUUCAACACAUUUGCCUGUUUAGCCUCCAUCUGAAGCUUCAGGGGGGUAGGAGGAAUUAUCCAAACCUGGAAAAAAAAAAAAGAAUAAAAAGAAAGAAUAGCCCAACAAACAUUUGUGCUGUCCGACAAGACUGCUCUGCUUUCAUUCAUUGGAACCAAGGAACACAAUAAAUCAAACAUGUACACACACACACACACACACACACACACACACACACACACACACACACACACACACACACACACACACACACACACACACACACACACACACACACACACACACACACUAUACAUUCAUGCUCUGUGGGGUGGGGAAAGAGCAGGCUCUUUGAAAAGAGGAAUGAUUCUUCAGUGUGGUUAGCUGC